rnacentral:rRNA from 1 species
UACGGAGGGGACUAGCGUUGUUCGGAAUUACUGGGCGUAAAGCGCACGUAGGCGGCUUUUUAAGUCAGGGGUGAAAUCCUGGAGCUCAACUCCAGAACUGCCUUUGAUACUGGAAAGCUUGAGUCCGGGAGAGGUGAGUGGAACUCCGAGUGUAGAGGUGAAAUUCGUAGAUAUUCGGAAGAACACCAGUGGCGAAGGCGGCUCACUGGCCCGGUACUGACGCUGAGGUGCGAAAGCGUGGGGAGCAAACAGG